AGUGAACGCUGGCGGCGUGCUUAACACAUGCAAGUCGAACGAGAACGGGCUAUAGCUUGCUAUAGUUGUCAGCUAAGUGGCGCACGGGUGAGUAAUGUAUAGGUAAUAUGCCUCUUACUAAGGGAUAACAAAUGGAAACGUUUGCUAAUACCUUAUACUCCUUAUUAACAGAAGUUAAUAAGGGAAAGAUUUAUUGGUAAGAGAUUAGCCUGUAUUGUAUCAGUUAGUUGGUGGGGUAAUGGCUUACCAAGACUAUGACACAUAACUGGUUUGAGAGGAUGAUCAGUCACACUGGAACUGAGACACGGUCCAGACUCCUACGGGAGGCAGCAGUGGGGAAUAUUGCACAAUGGACGAAAGUCUGAUGCAGCAACGCCGCGUGGAGGAUGACACAUUUCGGUGCGUAAACUCCUUUUAUAUGAGAAGAUAAUGACGGUAUUAUAUGAAUAAGCACCGGCUAACUCCGUGCCAGCAGCCGCAGUAA
rnacentral:rRNA from 1 species